AGAGUUUGAUCCUGGCUCAGAUUGAACGCUGGCGGCAUGCUUUACACAUGCAAGUCGAACGGCAGCACGGAUGCUUGCACCUGGUGGCGAGUGGCGAACGGGUGAGUAAUGCACCGGAACGUACCCAGUAAUGGGGGAUAACACAUCGAAAGAUGUGCUAAUACCGCAUACGCCCUGAGAGGGAAAGCGGGGGAUCGUAAGACCUCGCGUUAUUGGAGCGGCCGAUGCCGGAUUAGCUAGUUGGUGAGGUAAGAGCUCACCAAGGCGACGAUCCGUAGCUGGUCUAAGAGGACGACCAGCCACACUGGGACUGAGACACGGCCCAGACUCCUACGGGAGGCAGCAGUGGGGAAUUUUGGACAAUGGGCGCAAGCCUGAUCCAGCCAUGCCGCGUGAGUGAAGAAGGCCUUCGGGUUGUAAAGCUCUUUCGCAAGGAAAGAAAACUUAUCUACUA
rnacentral:rRNA from 1 species